rnacentral:piRNA from 1 species
GUGGUUGCUGGGAAUUGAAUUCAA